rnacentral:lncRNA from 10 species
GAAAAUUGCCGAACCCCUCUGUGAGUCAGUUGCCUCAUACACAAAAUAGAAUUAAUGAAGCUUGGUUGUCAUUAAGGCUUCUUAAGAUCUGCAGAUGAAAGAUACUGCAUUCAUCCAACACAAAUUAUUCACCAGUAUACUAUGAAAGACUCUCAGAAGAGAAAGCUCUGGUCACAGCUCAGAAGUGCACUUAGAAGUAAAUGGUGGCAGCUGAGGCUUACUACCCCAGGAAAGGGAUGCCACCAGAGAAGGCAGACAACCAAGAUGGCGACUCUCAAUUUUUGAGCUCCUAAUUUUCUCAUGUCAGACAUAAGAAAAAAAAAUAUUUUUUAAAGAAAAAGCUUUAGGUUGCAAAAAUCUAGGCCUUUCAACUUUAAAAUCCUAUUCUUGCAAGCCUUGGAGAAUAAAGCUUAUGCAUAAACAGUAGAUUUGGAAACAGAAAUAUGCCUAAUUACCCAGAGCCAUUCUUUCAAUACGCCAGUGAUUGUUUAAAGAUUCUAUAGGCUGGAGUCAAUGGCAGGAGGCGGGUGGGAAAAGAGUCAAGAGGGAGGAGAGAAGAAGCAAGAGGGUUGGGUAGAUAUUGUCACAUGACCCUGAGAGGAGGAUUCUGGGUCAAACCCCUAGGGGGUUGUGUGUAAUGGAGACUCCAGAUCCAUUUGGGAAUCUGGCUCCAAAGAAGACUUCACCUUGCCUUCUGAGUGGAGCCCUGAAGUGGCAAGACUCAUAGAAUUCCCCCACGGGUCCACACAAGAGAGAAUGAAUAGAGAAGGCUGCGUGCUGGCUGGACCAAGGCAGCCUCGGGUGACACCACCACCACCACCGCCGCUGCCGCCAUCGCCAUCACCACUGCCGCUGCCAUCACCGCCACCACCACCACCAUCACCACCACCAUCACCACAUUAUGGACAAUAGCCCAAUGUUUCCUGAGUUCCCUAGAGGGUUGAAAGAGAAUAGGACCUAGAGAGAUCACAUAGUUGGGACAGGCACUCAUUAAUUUGAUCCAAUGACAAGAGACCAGAUGGGAAGAAGGAUGCCUUGAGAGAUGUCAGUGUGCACCCAUGGAUAGAAGCAGCUGGUGACUGGGUACUUGGGAAGCCACAUGGACACACACAAAGCUCCUGGAAGACGUUUUCAAGGAGUUGGGCUGUGCUGGGAUCCAGAACUGGCUGAAGAAACCAUGAGCUGACAUAAAAUUUCUGCCACCUAGCAGAAUGGAGGCUCCAUUUGGAAAUUAAAUUAUAUACUUAAAAAAACUAUAAUUGCUUCAUUUCUUUUUUUUGAGAUGGAGUUUCACUCUUGUUGCCCAGGCUGUAGUGCAAUGGCACCAUCUCAGCUCACUGCAAACUCCGCUCCCGGGUUCAAGAGGUGAUCCUGCCUCAGCCUCCCGAGUAGCUAGGAUUACAGGUGUGCGGCCACCAUGCCCCGCUAAUUUUGUAUUUUCAGUAGAGACGGGGUUUUACCAUGUUGGUCAAGCUGGUCUCAAACUCCUG